GGUGGAAUAGAAUAAUUGGUAAUUCAUUAGGUUCAUGCCCUAAAGAUUGUAAGUUCAAAGCUUACUUCCACUA
rnacentral:tRNA from 1 species